rnacentral:rRNA from 1 species
GGGAGGGGUGCAAGCGUUAUUCGGAAUCACUGGGCGUAAAGAGCGCGUAGGCGGUUUCUAAAGUCAGAUGUGAAAGCCCGGGGCUCAACCCCGGAAGUGCAUUUGAAACUUAGGGACUUGAGUAUGGGAGAGGGAAGUGGAAUUCCUGGUGUAGCGGCGAAAUGCGUAGAUAUCAGGAGGAACACCGGUGGCGAAGGCGACUUCCUGGACCAAUACUGACGCUGAGGCGCGAAGGCGUGGGGAGCAAACAGGAUUAGAUACCCUGGUAGUCCACGCAGUAAACGUUGAACACUAGGUGUAGCGGGUAUUGACCCCUGCUGUGCCGCAGCUAACGCAUUAAGUGUUCCGCCUGGGGAGUACGGCCGCAAGGCUA